rnacentral:rRNA from 1 species
UACGUAGGGUGCAAGCGUUAUCCGGAAUUAUUGGGCGUAAAGAGCUCGUAGGCGGUUUGUCGCGUCUGCUGUGAAAACCCGAGGCUCAACCUCGAGCUGUCGGUGGAAACUGUCUGGCUAGAGUCCGGAAGAGGAGAGUGGAAUUCCUGGUGUAGCGGUGAAAUGCGCAGAUAUCAGGAAGAACACCUAUGGCGAAGGCAGCUCUCUGGGACGGUACUGACGCUGAGACGCGAAAGCGUGGGGAGCGAACAGG